rnacentral:lncRNA from 13 species
UCCCGGAAUGCUUUGGCUGGGAUCCACGCAGCUUCAAUCCCAUCCCAUUCCAUGGGCAGGGACACUUCCCACGAUCCCAGGCUGCUCCAGCCUUUCCUUGGACACUUCCAGGGAUCCAGGGGCAGCCACAGCUUCGCUGGGAAUUCCAUCCCAGUGUUUGCCCUCACUCCAACCCCAUCUCCAGCUCCCAGUAGCUGGAUCCCAGCGCGAAGAAGCAGGAGGAGCUCUCCCGGCCCCGUUUUUCCCGGUGCUUCCCACGGAAUCGCGCUGGGAUCGGGAAAAGGGGGGGAGGGGCCACGAUGCUCCCGGCGUUGCCAAGCAACGGGAAGCGGGACUGCGCAUGCGCAGCAGCGCCCCCGACGAUGAGUGGGCGUUGCCAGGCAACGGGAAGACGCCGCUAUGUCAGCGCAUGCGCAGUGGGCGACGCGCAUCGGCCGUUGCCGGGGCAACGGGAGGUGCGCAUGCGCAGUAAGGGGCGCGCACCUGCGCUCAGGUGUCCCCAUGGAGCAGGGCGAGAACGGGGCGGCCCCGGGCCCGAACCCGGAGCUUGCGGAGCUCGACCCCGACCCCAAACUCGAUCCCGAGCCCGAUCCCGAUCCCGAGCCCGAUCCCGAUCCCGAUCCUGAUGCCGGUGCCGGUGCCGAUCCCGAUCCCGGCGCGGAGUGGGAGCGCCAGCAGCGAAUCGCCGCCCGCCGCAGCCGCAUCGAGGCCCGGCGCCGGGAAGCCCUUGGAGAGGAGGUGGAGCAGGAAGAGGAGGAGGAGGAGGAGGAAGAGGAGAGAAAGAGCCUGAAGCUGAUCGAGGACACCGGGAAGGUGAGGAAGGGUUGGGAAUCUCUUGGAUCCAUCCUUGUUCCCUGUUUUCCUCCUUGGUGUCCCCUUGAUGGGGCAAAAAUAUGGGAGAGAAACUCCCCAGGACAGGAUUUGGGAUCUGAUGGGAAUCUGCUCUUGGAUCCCUCCUUAUCCCUUGUUUUCCUCCUUUAUGGACCAAAAACUGGGAGAGAAACUCCCCAAGACUGGGAUUUGGGGCUGGAUCCUUGGGAUCCAGUGGGAAUCUCCUCUUGGAUCCCUCCNCAUCCCAUCCCGGAUCCAACCUGGGAUUCACCUGCCUCGGGACACCUUUUCCCAAAGGAUUUUCCAUGGGAUUGGACUGGAUCCCAGGGAUUCCCAGUCCCUCCAGGCGGGAUGGGAUCCCACUGGGAAGCAGCAGGAGCCUGUCCCGUGCUGGGGUUGGCUUGGGAUCCCACUUUUCUCUGUUUUUAUGGAAAACUGGGAUGGGAACCACCAUUUCCCGCCAGCCUGAUGCACAGCUAGGUGGAUCCUAUUCCCAAUCCAUGGAAUCUCAUUUGUCACGUUCCCAUCCCGCCAGGUUCCUUCUUCCCUUCCCAUUCCCAAAUCCUUUCCCGAUCCCAAGAAACCACCUGGGAUUGAUCCCACUGGAAUAUGCCGAGCGGGAAGGAUCCCACCAGGAUCAUCCCAGUCCAGCUCCUGCCCCUCCCAUCCCAAAAUUCCCACCCUGUGUCCCUUCCCUCUUCCUGAGGGGCUGAUCCCGCAUUCCUGGCAGCAUUCCCAGCUCCAGAGGGGGAAUCCUGGAUCCCGUUUUCCCUCGGGAAUGCUGUUCCCUGUUUCCUGCUUCCCAUGGGAACCUCUUGAGGGGGGAGGGAGAUCCCGGUGGGCCAUGCUAGGAUCAGAUCCAGGCCGUUCCCAAGCUUUGGGAAGAGUUUGGGGUGGAAAAUAUUCCAGGUUUUCCCUGUUUUCCACCCAGGGAAGCCCUUGGAGAGGAGGUGGAGCAGGAAGAGGAGGAGGAGGAGGAGGAAGAGGAGAGAAAGAGCCUGAAGCUGAUCGAGGACACCGGGAAGGUGAGGAAGGGUUGGGAAUCUCUUGGAUCCAUCCUUGUUCCCUGUUUUCCUCCUUGGUGUCCCCUUGAUGGGGCAAAAAUAUGGGAGAGAAACUCCCCAGGACAGGAUUUGGGAUCUGAUGGGAAUCUGCUCUUGGAUCCCUC